rnacentral:rRNA from 1 species
AUUGAACGCUGGCGGAAUGCUUUACACAUGCAAGUCGAACGGCAGCACGGGGCAACCUGGUGGCGAGUGGCGAACGGGUGAGUAAUACAUCGGAACGUGCCCAAUCGUGGGGGAUAACGUAGCGAAAGUUACGCUAAUACCGCAUACGAUCUACGGAUGAAAGCGGGGGAUCGCAAGACCUCGCGCGAGUGGAGCGGCCGAUGUCAGAUUAGGUAGUUGGUGGGGUAAAGGCUCACCAAGCCAACGAUCUGUAGCUGGUCUGAGAGGACGACCAGCCACACUGGAACUGAGACACGGUCCAGACUCCUACGGGAGG